UUAUAAGAUAAAAUAAAACUUAUUGAAAUAAAAUUAUAGAAUAAAAUAAAAUCUUAUGAUUAAAAUAAAAUUAAAUGUGGCUCUUAGUGACCAUUUAUCCUAAAUAAAAAUCUUCCCAUGAACAAAGCAAAAAAGGAGUUUAAGACUUCAUGGACAACUGCAAAUCCAAGGAGAUUUUUAGCAUGCGCUGUACAAAAUAGAGAUAGAAAUGCAUAUGCAAAGCAACAGGAACAGAGAAAAGCUUUUGUGUACAACUGUAGUUGUAUUAAUCAUUGUAUUUAAUUAGGAAAUGGAUGUAUUCUAGGUGUUUAGAGAAGGUUAGCCUUUUGGAUUAAAAUUUACGGAUGAUGGCAAUGAGAAAAUGUCAAUUUGGUGAAUGUAUUAAGGUUGUAUUUAUAAAUGAAAAGAAGUUUGAUUUAUGCAGACUACGUGCUUGAUGAAAUGUCAAUUAGAAGAGUUUAAACUGUAUCGUUUACAAUGUAAUCUAAAAUAGGUGAUUUUUGGUAAUGGAUGUUAUGAAUGAAAAGCACUUCAUGUCAAACAUAGGUUAAGUCGCCUUGUUUGGUGAAAACAACAUCACCAAUUGUUUCUAAAUCUAUUAACACAUAAGCUAAACUGAAAUUACAACAAGUUCGAAAUAGUCUAAGGUUACCUAAAACGCCAACAGUUUGCUGUCAAAACAUAAAAUGGCCUAUAACCAAGUUUGAAAUGCUUGAAUUAGUUACAGAAUUAAAAAAAAAGAAUUGUUAUUCAUUGAUAAAUUAUUGUAUUGUGUUUCAACAAAGAAACUAUAAUAUUCAUGCAUUUCUCUCUUAGGCUGUUGUCUCUUGUAUCAAAUGCUUUGCAACUCUUAGUUCAACUGAAGUUCCUACUUUUUCAAAACUUCUUUUAUCCUUUCUUUCUAACUAUUUGGAUUUGUUCAUUUGCUACUUUUUCUUCCAUUUUUCCUUCCGAAGUUGAAGGCUUGGCAUGAACUUUGCUUUGUGCAUUUACCUACAAUAAAAAAAGCACAUUAAAUAGCUAAAAUAAAUUCCAAAUAUUUUAAUGUUAUUUAUAUGAUAUAUAGUAAUACCUAAAGUUUUGAAGUUGUUAUAAAAUGCUUCUCCCACUUCUUGAAACCUUUCUUCCUCUUUAUUAUGAAGCUAGGUUCAGGUUCAUUUCCAACUAUUUUCUUACUUCUAGCCUGUGGAACUUUUUCUUCAGGCUGUAUUAGCCUGUAGACUCAGCUCACUUAACUAUUCGUGUUCCUUAUAAGCUUUAAUUCUUUCUUUCUUGUAUUGAGUGCCUUGUUAUUACAUCUUUAAAUUGUGAAGCACCUUUAAAAAGUUAACCCCGAGCAAAUACUUAUCUUCUUAACUUUAGGAUCGUAGGCUAGAAAUGUACUUCGCCUCCUUACAAGAGAUCUAUCAGUGCUCAUUACACUAAAUUCAUCAUUCGAUUCAAUGAUGUCAUCAUAGAGACCUUCUUCAGCACUAAAAUCAAAUGUAAGUAAUUUGAGGGUCCCCUUACUGACAUUUUUGUUCUUACUCCCCCAACUCCUUUUUUUUUUUUUGAACUCCCUCAAAGCUUGUCUAGCCUCCUUUAGGUCAUUAUCAUUAAAAAUAAAUUCACAAUUAAUGAGAUCUGGAUCCUCCUGUGCACACAAAUCUUCUACUUUAGUAUCUUCCUCAUUAUGAACCCUUCUGUCAGUUACUUCUUGCUCAACAUUGGAGCAAAGUAACACCAAUAAAUAAAUAAAAAAGCCAAGGCUAGUAGAAAACAAGGACAACAAAAAUCUUAAAGCCAAGUAAGAUGUAGCAAUAGAAGGAGAAGAACAACAGAAAAAGGUCUUUAAAUUAACAAAAAGUGGCAGCAGCAACAAGGAGAGUUAGUAAUAGCUGAAAGAGGAUAACACCAUUAAAAUAGUACUAAUAAGAAAAUAGAAGAGUAAUAAUGGCAAGAAAAAACUAGAGCUGGAAGAGAUUAAAAAAACAACAAUGGAGCAAAGUAAUAGCAAUUCUGCUACAAAAA